AGACCCGAAACCCGGUGAUCUAGCCAUGGGCAGGUUGAAGGUUGGGUAACACUAACUGGAGGACCGAACCGACUAAUGUUGAAAAAUUAGCGGAUGACCUGUGGCUGGGGGUGAAAGGCCAAUCAAACCGGGAGAUAGCUGGUUCUCCCCGAAAGCUAUUUAGGUAGCGCCUCGUGAAUUCAUCUCCGGGGGUAGAGCACUGUUUCGGCUAGGGGGCCAUCCCGGCUUACCAACCCGAUGCAAACUGCGAAUACCGGAGAAUGUUAUCACGGGAGACACACGGCGGGUGCUAACGUCCGUCGUGAAGAGGGAAACAACCCAGACCGCCAGCUAAGGUCCCAAAGUCAUGGUUAAGUGGGAAACGAUGUGGGAAGGCCCAGACAGCCAGGAUGUUGGCUUAGAAGCAGCCAUCAUUUAAAGAAAGCGUAAUAGCUCACUGGUCGAGUCGGCCUGCGCGGAAGAUGUAACGGGGCUAAACCAUGCACCGAAGCUGCGGCAGCGAACGUAUCACUUAAAGCGAUUCAGCGGGUUACGAUUGACGGAGCGAAGCGACGUCAAAGCGUAUACAAAGUCGAGUCGGUUUAAGGAUACGUUCGUUGGGUAGGGGAGCGUUCUGUAAGCCUGUGAAGGUGGCCUGUGAGGGUUGCUGGAGGUAUCAGAAGUGCGAAUGCUGACAUAAGUAACGAUAAAGCGGGUGAAAAGCCCGCUCGCCGGAAGACCAAGGGUUCCUGUCCAACGUUAAUCGGGGCAGGGUGAGUCGACCCCUAAGGCGAGGCCGAAAGGCGUAGUCGAUGGGAAACAGGUUAAUAUUCCUGUACUUGGUGUUACUGCGAAGGGGGGACGGAGAAGGCUAUGUUGGCCGGGCGACGGUUGUCCCGGUUUAAGCGUGUAGGCUGGUUUUCCAGGCAAAUCCGGAAAAUCAAGG
rnacentral:rRNA from 1 species